GAUGAACGCUGGCGGCGUGCCUAAUACAUGCAAGUCGAGCGAAUGGAUUAAGAGCUUGCUCUUAUGAAGUUAGCGGCGGACGGGUGAGUAACACGUGGGUAACCUGCCCAUAAGACUGGGAUAACUCCGGGAAACCGUGGCUAAUACCGGAUAACAAUUUGAACCGCACGGGUCGAAAUUGAACGGCGGCUUCGGCUGUCACUUAUGGAUGGACCCGCGUCGCAUUAGCUAGUUGGGGAGGUAACGGCUCACCAAGGCAACGAGGCGUAGCCGACCUGAGAGGGUGAUCGGCCACACUGGGACUGAGACACGGCCCAGACUCCUACGGGAGGCAGCAGUAGGGAAUCUUCCGCAAUGGACGAAAGUCUGACGGAGCAACGCCGCGUGAGUGAUGAAGGCUUUCGGGUCGUAAAACUCUGUUGUUAGGGAAGAACAAGUGCUAGUUGAAUAAGCUGGCACCUUGACGGUACCUAACCAGAAGGCCACGGCUAACUACGUGCCAGCAGCCGCAGUAACAC
rnacentral:rRNA from 1 species